GGGUUGUGAGGUUAAGCGACUAAGCGUACACGGUGGAUGCCCUGGCAGUCAGAGGCGAUGAAGGACGUGCUAAUCUGCGAUAAGCGUCGGUAAGGUGAUAUGAACCGUUAUAACCGGCGAUUUCCGAAUGGGGAAACCCAGUGUGAUUCGUCACACUAUCAUUAACUGAAUCCAUAGGUUAAUGAGGCGAACCGGGGGAACUGAAACAUCUAAGUACCCCGAGGAAAAGAAAUCAACCGAGAUUCCCCCAGUAGCGGCGAGCGAACGGGGAGGAGCCCAGAGCCUGAAUCAGUGUGUGUGUUAGUGGAAGCGUCUGGAAAGGCGCGCGAUACAGGGUGACAGCCCCGUACACAAAAAUGCACAUACUGUGAGCUCGAUGAGUAGGGCGGGACACGUGGUAUCCUGUCUGAAUAUGGGGGGACCAUCCUCCAAGGCUAAAUACUCCUGACUGACCGAUAGUGAACCAGUACCGUGAGGGAAAGGCGAAAAGAACCCCGGCGAGGGGAGUGAAAAAGAACCUGAAACCGUGUACGUACAAGCAGUGGGAGCCUCUUUUAUGGGGUGACUGCGUACCUUUUGUAUAAUGGGUCAGCGACUUAUAUUCUGUAGCAAGGUUAACCGAAUAGGGGAGCCGAAGGGAAACCGAGUCUUAACCGGGCGUUAAGUUGCAGGGUAUAGACCCGAAACCCGGUGAUCUAGCCAUGGGCAGGUUGAAGGUUGGGUAACACUAACUGGAGGACCGAACCGACUAAUGUUGAAAAAUUAGCGGAUGACUUGUGGCUGGGGGUGAAAGGCCAAUCAAACCGGGAGAUAGCUGGUUCUCCCCGAAAGCUAUUUAGGUAGCGCCUCGUGAAUUCAUCUCCGGGGGUAGAGCACUGUUUCGGCAAGGGGGUCAUCCCGACUUACCAACCCGAUGCAAACUGCGAAUACCGGAGAAUGUUAUCACGGGAGACACACGGCGGGUGCUAACGUCCGUCGUGAAGAGGGAAACAACCCAGACCGCCAGCUAAGGUCCCAAAGUCAUGGUUAAGUGGGAAACGAUGUGGGAAGGCCCAGACAGCCAGGAUGUUGGCUUAGAAGCAGCCAUCAUUUAAAGAAAGCGUAAUAGCUCACUGGUCGAGUCGGCCUGCGCGGAAGAUGUAACGGGGCUAAACCAUGCACCGAAGCUGCGGCAGCGACACUGUGUGUUGUUGGGUAGGGGAGCGUUCUGUAAGCCUGUGAAGGUGUACUGUGAGGUAUGCUGGAGGUAUCAGAAGUGCGAAUGCUGACAUAAGUAACGAUAAAGCGGGUGAAAAGCCCGCUCGCCGGAAGACCAAGGGUUCCUGUCCAACGUUAAUCGGGGCAGGGUGAGUCGACCCCUAAGGCGAGGCCGAAAGGCGUAGUCGAUGGGAAACAGGUUAAUAUUCCUGUACUUGGUGUUACUGCGAAGGGGGGACGGAGAAGGCUAUGUUGGCCGGGCGACGGUUGUCCCGGUUUAAGCGUGUAGGCUGGUUUUCCAGGCAAAUCCGGAAAAUCAAGGCUGAGGCGUGAUGACGAGGCACUACGGUGCUGAAGCAACAAAUGCCCUGCUUCCAGGAAAAGCCUCUAAGCAUCAGGUAACAUCAAAUCGUACCCCAAACCGACACAGGUGGUCAGGUAGAGAAUACCAAGGCGCUUGAGAGAACUCGGGUGAAGGAACUAGGCAAAAUGGUGCCGUAACUUCGGGAGAAGGCACGCUGAUAUGUAGGUGAAGUCCCUCGCGGAUGGAGCUGAAAUCAGUCGAAGAUACCAGCUGGCUGCAACUGUUUAUUAAAAACACAGCACUGUGCAAACACGAAAGUGGACGUAUACGGUGUGACGCCUGCCCGGUGCCGGAAGGUUAAUUGAUGGGGUCAGCGCAAGCGAAGCUCUUGAUCGAAGCCCCGGUAAACGGCGGCCGUAACUAUAACGGUCCUAAGGUAGCGAAAUUCCUUGUCGGGUAAGUUCCGACCUGCACGAAUGGCGUAAUGAUGGCCAGGCUGUCUCCACCCGAGACUCAGUGAAAUUGAACUCGCUGUGAAGAUGCAGUGUACCCGCGGCAAGACGGAAAGACCCCGUGAACCUUUACUAUAGCUUGACACUGAACAUUGAGCCUUGAUGUGUAGGAUAGGUGGGAGGCUUUGAAGUGUGGACGCCAGUCUGCAUGGAGCCGACCUUGAAAUACCACCCUUUAAUGUUUGAUGUUCUAACGUGGACCCGUGAUCCGGGUUGCGGACAGUGUCUGGUGGGUAGUUUGACUGGGGCGGUCUCCUCCUAAAGAGUAACGGAGGAGCACGAAGGUUGGCUAAUCCUGGUCGGACAUCAGGAGGUUAGUGCAAUGGCAUAAGCCAGCUUGACUGCGAGCGUGACGGCGCGAGCAGGUGCGAAAGCAGGUCAUAGUGAUCCGGUGGUUCUGAAUGGAAGGGCCAUCGCUCAACGGAUAAAAGGUACUCCGGGGAUAACAGGCUGAUACCGCCCAAGAGUUCAUAUCGACGGCGGUGUUUGGCACCUCGAUGUCGGCUCAUCACAUCCUGGGGCUGAAGUAGGUCCCAAGGGUAUGGCUGUUCGCCAUUUAAAGUGGUACGCGAGCUGGGUUUAGAACGUCGUGAGACAGUUCGGUCCCUAUCUGCCGUGGGCGCUGGAGAACUGAGGGGGGCUGCUCCUAGUACGAGAGGACCGGAGUGGACGCAUCACUGGUGUUCGGGUUGUCAUGCCAAUGGCACUGCCCGGUAGCUAAAUGCGGAAGAGAUAAGUGCUGAAAGCAUCUAAGCACGAAACUUGCCCCGAGAUGAGUUCUCCCUGACCCUUUAAGGGUCCUGAAGGAACGUUGAAGACGACGACGUUGAUAGGCCGGGUGUGUAAGCGCAGCGAUGCGUUGAGCUAACCGGUACUAAUGAACCGUGAGGCUUAACCUUACAACGCCGAAGGUGUUU
rnacentral:rRNA from 4 species